rnacentral:rRNA from 1 species
UAGGGAAUCUUCCGCAAUGGACGCAAGUCUGACGGAGCAACGCCGCGUGAGUGAAGAAGGAUUUCGGUUCGUAAAACUCUGUUGUUAGAGAAGAACAGCGCAUAGAGUAACUGUUAUGCGUGUGACGGUAUCUAACCAGAAAGCCACGGCUAACUACGUGCCAGCAGCCGCGGUAAUACGUAGGUGGCAAGCGUUGUCCGGAUUUAUUGGGCGUAAAGCGAGCGCAGGCGGUCAAUUAAGUCUGAUGUGAAAGCCCCCGGCUCAACCGGGGAGGGUCAUUGGAAACUGGUUGACUUGAGUGCAGAAGAGGAGAGUGGAAUUCCAUGUGUAGCGGUGAAAUGCGUAGAUAUAUGGAGGAACACCAGUGGCGAAGGCGACUCUCUGGUCUGUAACUGGCGCUGAGGCUCGAAAGCGUGGGUAGCAAACAGG